UGGGGAAUAUUGCACAAUGGGCGAAAGCCUGAUGCAGCCAUGCCGCGUGUGUGAAGAAGGCUCUAGGGUUGUAAAGCACUUUCAGUAGGGAGGAAAUGCUGUUGGUUAAUACCCAGCAGUUUUGACGUUACCUACAGAAGAAGCACCGGCAAACUCCGUGCCAGCAGCCGCGGUAAUACGGAGGGUGCGAGCGUUAAUCGGAAUUACUGGGCGUAAAGCGCGCGUAGGUGGUUUGAUAAGCUAGCUGUGAAAGCCCCGGGCUCAACCUGGGAACUGCAGUUAGAACUGUCUGACUAGAGUACAGUAGAGGGUGGCGGAAUUUCCUGUGUAGCGGUGAAAUGCGUAGAUAUAGGAAGGAACAUCAGUGGCGAAGGCGGCCACCUGGACUGAUACUGACACUGAGGUGCGAAAGCGUGGGGAGCAAACAGG
rnacentral:rRNA from 1 species